UUACCAAAAGUUGAUUUUUGGAGGCAAGGGUUUUUUAAUAACCUUUACCAGUUUGGGCUGUUUGGGAGAAUAAAGAGAAGACUGCAUUCCACAGUGGGCUAUACCACUUAGUACAGUUGGCUACUAUUUUGUGGCCUACAUU
ensembl:snoRNA